CUCCUAGGGGCGCAGCAGUGAGGAAUAUUGGUCAAUGGUCGGGAGACUGAACCAGCCAAGCCGCGUGAGGGAUGAAGGUACAGAGUAUCGUAAACCUCUUUUGUCAGGGAACAAAGGCGGGGGCGUGUCCCCGGAUGAGUGUACCUGAAGAAAAAGCAUAGGCUAACUCCGUGCCAGCAGCCGCGGGAAUACGGAGGAUGCGAGCGUUAUCCGGAGUUAUUGGGGUUAAAGGGGGCGCAGGCGGUCUGUUAAGUCAGCGGUCAAAGCCCGGGGCGCAACCCCGGCCCGGCGUUGAAACUGGCAGG
rnacentral:rRNA from 1 species